rnacentral:lncRNA from 1 species
CCUCGGAGCUCUGAAGUAUAAAAGUUAAAAGUUAAAGUUUAAAUAAUGAGAAGUUUACAAUUAUUAUUAUAUUGGCCACAGGCCUGGGUAUAGGGGAAGCCUGAAACAUCGGGGAACAAUUGUAAUUCUUAGUUCUUGGUGGGAUGUAGUUAUUCUUUGAAUUUGAUUUGGCAAUGAUUAUAAAAUGUCUUUUUUCUACCUGAUUUUGGAUUAUUAAUAAAGGACUAGGGCAAGAAAAAGUCUACAGAACAUGUGAAGAGUAAAUGAGAGAGAGCAUGAGGGAGUGAAUGAGAGAGUACAUGACAGAGCUAAUGUAAGAAGAAAUGUGAGAGCGAAUGAGAGAGCAUGAGAAGAGCAUGUGAAGAGUGAGUGGAGAGAGAAUGUGAUAGUGAAUGAGGGAGCGAAUGAGAGAGCGAGUCUGAGAACAAAUGUGAGAGCGAGUGAGAGAGCAUGAGGAGAGCAUGUGAGAAUGAGUGAGGAGAGAACGUGAGGUGUGUGUGAAGACUGUGUGUGUGCGUGACAGGAGAGUGCAUGUGCUGUGUGUGAGAUAUGUAUGAGGUGUGUAUGAAGAUUGUGUGUGUGCGUGACAGGAGAGUGCAUGUGCUGUGUGUGAGAUAUGUAUGAGGUGUGUAUGAAGAUUGUGUGUGUGCGUGACAGGAGAGUGCAUGUGGUGUGUGUGAGAUAUGUAUGAGGUGUGUAUGAAGAGUGUGUGUGAGAAUGAAAGGGUAAUGAACAGACGUGUGCAUGAGAGUGGGAGUUUGGGAAAAGAAAACUGCAAUAAAAAAAGCAGAGUGCACAAAAGAAUGUAGAGUGUGU